GGCCAGGUAGCUCAGUUGGUUAGAGUGUCGGCCUGAUAAGCCAAGAUUGUGGGUUUGAUCCCUGGUCA
rfam:Myotis davidii contig191233, whole genome shotgun sequence.